rnacentral:rRNA from 1 species
UGCAGUUAAAAAGCUCGUAGUUGGACUUCAGAGUGAGCUCAGACGGUCGGCCCAAGGGUCAGAACUGGUUGACUCUCUCUUGUUUGUGGAAGCCGCCCGGAGUUAACUCUUCGGAUGUGCUCUCCACAUCGUUUACCUUGAAAAAAUUAGAGUGUUCAAAGCAGGCGUUUGCUUGAAUAUAUUAGCAUGGAAUAAUGGAAUAGGACCCUGGUUCUAUUUUGUUGGUUUUGAGGACCAGAGUAAUGAUUAAUAGGGAUAGUUGGGGGCAUUCAUAUUUCAUUGUCAGAGGUGAAAUUCUUGGAUUUAUGAAAGAUGAACUUCUGCGAAAGCAUUUGCCAAGGAUGUUUUCAUUAAUCAAGAACGAAAGUUAGGGGAUCGAAGACGAUCAGAUACCGUCGUAGUCUUAACCAUAAACUAUGCCGACUGGGGAUUGGGCGUGGUUUGUUCAUUGACCCGCUCAGCACCUUACGAGAAAUCAAAGUCCUUGGGUUCCGGGGGGAGUAUGGUCGCAAGGCUGGAACUUAAAGGAAUUGACGGAGGGGCACCACCAGGAGUGGAGCCUGCGGCUUAAUUUGACUCAACACGGGAAAACUUACCAGGUCCAGACAUAGUAAGGAUUGACAGAUUGAGAGCUCU